AGCGACAACGUUUGGUAAUUUUGCACGCUCACAAUGUCGAAACAGUAAACAGAUUGUAAUGGUCAAGACGUCAAUUCUGCAAGUAAUGUUGAAUAAAUUGCUAUCAGACAUGUCGGACAUUAUUACUUAGAUCGAAUCGCGACAAUUAUUUGUGUUAUUUAAUCCAAAGAUUUUGUGAAUUACGAUAGAACUUGAGGUCGUGUAAACCCGGACACCACCCCAAUCGCAUGAGAAAUCACAGACGUUGUAUGUGUACCGUGCAACUGUAUGCAUGCACUGCGAGUGAUCGUGAACGGAAGAACUUUGCCUUGGCUACACCGUGUAGUAAUGUCGGUUUACAUUCACGAGAUUUUCUCGGGGCAGCAAUGACCAAAUGUAAAGAUUCCCUUGCAAAAUUAAUGACAGAAUCAUUUUUUAUCCUAUUAAAACACUGUAUACGUUUAAAUGAGCGUUUUACGUACCAAAACAGUCGGAUCACUUCAGCUCGCAUUUGUCGCACUUGCUUGAGUAUCACCUCACCUUUGUCCGAUGACCGGUUAACAGCGAAAGCUAUACAGGCAAAACAUUGCGCAAACAAUUAAUACUUGGAAAAUAAGACAUAAUCAACGUGACUUUGUGACAUAAUUAUUCAUCAUUUUUCGAAAACCAAUGACAGGGUGGUUUAUAAUGGUCUGUGGCUGUUUUCAACAUUGUUUAUAUAUAAAACACUUGGUUUUUAAUUAUUGUCUCGCGGAAGAACAUUAAUACAUUUGGAUGGGCGUGCUGGCGUACGUGAUUGGACAAAAUUGAGUUCCUUUAAAAAUGUCGGUGAAUGUAUGGGGAUGCGUGACUAGCUGACACUCAUCUUGACCUUAUUUCAUCUGACGCCAUGUUGAAAGUUGGAGCUGAGUUGCAUGCAGUACAAGCGUGGCAUAUAUCUAGUUCUGAUUUCCGUUUCACCCUGCAUGUCAGUUAGACAUUUCACAGUUUACCAGCAAUGCAGUCGACUUGAUGAGAAGGAAAAUCUUCACCGGGUUGCAUGUCAACUUCGACGUAACUGCACUUCGCCACGUGUGGACUUUGCACUGUCUUUGGCAUACGGUAAUUCUCAACGCAUGUGAAGUUAGAUGAUCGUGUGAGAUCUACACGCUUUUCACUGUAGACCGACUUACAUCAACGGCACGUCCCAUGCUUUAUUUCGUUGUGGAAUUUUGAGAACGUCACCGGCCGGGAAGUCACUCGUUGAUCAUAGUUAUAGGCCUAUUUAUAUCAUCUCCAUAUAUUAGGAGAAUGGCUUGAGAAUCAUAAGUUAGAGAAAUCUCAGUAGACUGAACUGAAAACACACGACAUAUCUUUAUGUACAGCUCUGAGAUGGGUUCAGAAGUAUCCAAAACUUGUUUUUAAAGGUGAUUCCACUCGAGACCAACAGGACCCUACUUGUAUACCCGCUGUUCAACACACCUGAUGACCCUGUUUGAAUUCUGGCGUACUCCCAAUCGGACCGGGCAAUCGGAUGAUCUUUUAGAGAGCAAUUACACUGCAGUGAGAGGGAAUAUUGAAAACACAUUGUAUUCUGCUUCAGAAUAAACGCAACUCUGAUCUGCCGAUUUUUUUCCUUCACAGAUUCUCCGUAUAUCUUGGCAUCAGGCCAUGUAUUGUUCAGCAUAAAAAGAAAUAAGACCAAGACGUGUCAUACUCAGAAAGGAUUUGUCACGCGGUGGCAAUCACGUGUAAGCAGACAAAGCCUAAAUUGCAUCAGAAAAGGAACUGGCGUACGAUAUGGCAACCACAGCAUACAACUCUCUGAGUCGUGCUGGCUUAACCUUCGAGUAUCUGCAUACAAACUCAACAACUCACGAGUUUUUAUUUGGAGCUCUUGCAGAACUUCUUGACAAUGCCAGGGACGCAGAAGCAAGUCGUAUGGAUGUGUACACAGGUAAAUAAUCUAAAAAGGAGAACGUAUAUAGGCUGAUUGGCCAGCACCAUCCAAAUGUCCGUAAAAACACCCAUCCCUCCCCCACGUUGAACAUAAAAUGGUUUCAUAACUUUGAAAGUAUAGUCCUCAUUGACACAAGGAAAAAUUUAUUUACAACAAUGACUUUCUCCAGUGAAGAAUUAGGCUUGAGGAAAUGGUUUUGCAAUUGGUUACUGAAAAUAGUAUAUUAACACAAAGUAACACAUUACAAGUACCUGAAAAAUAGAAUAUAAGACAGUGGUCAUUUAGAUAUCAUAAGGAAUUUGUUCAAAGAGGUCUGGUAUUAACCGAGGCGUAUUUUGAAGAUUUGGAGGGAAGGGAUGUCUGAAUAUAAAGCGGUAGGGAGUUGAAAAGUUUGGUUCCAAUAUAAGAGAAAGAACGUUUUAUUUGUUUUCAAGUUUUUGAUUUAGGCAGGUAAAAUAGGUUGAUAACAACAUGUCGAGUAGGGUAAAUGAGAUAAAGUCCACCGGAUGACAGAAAAAAAUCAAUGGGAAUCAUAUGUGCGUUACUGUGUCUUUGCAUAAUUUUUUUUUUAAAGUGUAUAGCACAAAAUUUCAUAAAGUAGCCAUAUAAAUCAGUACCAAAUAAGAAUGAGAAGGCCUGCAUGCGAGCGCGUUUGCACUGGUAAACAUCAGUCAUGUAAUUACGCCUGUAGUUCAUGCACAUAAUAAGCUGGAUAAGUGUGAUGUUUAGAAUAAUAUUGCAGUUCAAAUUGUGUUAUGUGACGAGAUGCAGAGAUGCAUUAUGAGACAGGGGCAUUGCUGGGACCGACCGCCGCCCCUAAUGAUUCUCCAGUGGUGAAAAAUAAGACAAAAUGACGGAAUUCUAGCCAUGAAAAGAGGAAGAAAAAUGAAACAGGUAUCAAAUGAUAUCUUUAAUUCUUUAUAUUGAUUUUAUCAUGUUACUCAUGUUACUUUUCUUGGUAGGAUGGUAGUGGGUUUGGAUUCCUGCCAUGCGUAUUUUCCGUUAGCAAGAACUUUGAUCUAUGUUGUGAUGCACUCGACCCCGGUGAGGUGGAUGGGUAACCGGUAGAAUUUAUACCUUAACUUUAGCGCCUAUUUGGCGGCCCAGCUGCAGUCGUGAUAUUGAAGUGCAAUGGAGUAUAUGCAUAGUAACUGCGCUUUAUAAUUGGACAUAUAUUAUUAUUAUUGCAAUUAUGAGUGAUUACGUCAACUCUAGGUCUUCUUUCUACCCUCCCCCAUAUACCCAUGGUGCAACCACUGGCUUGUAAGCCUUUAAAGUGGGAAAAGAAUGCUGUCUGAGUGUGUUUGUGUGUGUGAGAGAUGGGCUUGGUCUUUUAUACUCAAAACAGAAUUAGCACCCCUGCAGGUUGACCACGCAGAUCAACAUACUGGUUAUGCUACUUUUAUAUCUAUUGCACUUUGUGUUAUCUCUUUUGUUAAAGUUAUAUCAGUGCGUAGAGGUAUUACUCCAUUGGCCAUGGAAUGAUAUGAUAGAAGGUAAAACAAUUACUUUCAUGUUUCACCGAACACUGACAAUCUUUGUCCGGAGUGACAUACUGGAUUGCGCCCCAAUGAAGGAAAUGACACAUUAAAAGCAAUUGUCCGAAUUGUGUAUUCACAAUCUAAUAUGUCAAAUGAAUGGCUUUUUGCAUUCUUGAAUUCCUUGAACAUAUCUUGUAAUUUGGUUUUGGUUUAUUGAAGACCAGUUCAAUGAAUUACCCUCUAGAUUACCAUAAUAUGUAUCACUAUCAUAUAGUUUUUCCCUAAUAUGAAUACCCUCUAAAUCUGUUUAGAGUUCAGAAAUUCAUUUUUUUAUGAGGAUGAAUUCAACUUGUGUAUACCUGUGUGUAAAAAAAAUUAUGAUUGUCUCGACUCCUGAAUGUGAUUAUCCUAACUCUCUAUAUGUUGCACAUUUUAUAUAUAUUUAUUUGUGUUAAAUCUGUUGGUUUAGCCAUUUUCAUUUAUGUAUAUGGACCAGCAUAUACCCCCUCUGAAUGAGUUAUAUAGUGUUCAUCGCUUCGUUUUGUUGCAAUUAAUAUUUUUUUCACUGAUCAUAUAUAUAAUAACUUAAUGUUGUACAUCACGAAUAUCAAUUCUAUUGAUUCAUUGCUUAUCUUUAAUUCGUAAAUUGUCAAAAUGAAAAGCAGUUAUGUACGUAGUUAAGUUCUCUGUUUAAAUUUCAGUACAGACAUUUACAUAUAGUGUAGUUUAUCACUCAAAAUGUAUCCAUGGCGUAAACAUAAAUGAUGAGUUAUUUAGGCGUGUUUGUAGAAUUUAAGAAUCGAAAUGAACUUGAUAUGCGAGGAGUACAUCUCUCCAAGAGAAUGAAGGCCUACGGAUUUAAGAAGGCUCCACAUGCACGAAACUGUCCACCAGGUAAAGAAUGGAAAUCAUGAGCAUAUCAACACCCAGGACAAGUUAGCGUCAACCGAAGCCCCGUGGAGAAGCAUUCUUGGAGAACCUGUUUUGCAGAAUGAUUUGAAAGGAGUAUCAGCAGUAUAGCUUGCAUCAAAUGAAAUGGAUGCAAGCUUAAAUUUUAGUGAUACGUUGAGCAUCGGCGGGUUAACGUACGGUACAACGUCUGAUUAUUAUAUUAAAUGCAGUCCACCUUUAGGUGCCUUGCUUUAUAGUCUGGUGUAGUAUUUGUACAGUGUCUUCUAAAUAAAAAUCUGCAAACUUGCUAUGUGCAGCUAAACGU